GCGAAUCGUAUGUGUGUUUUGUGUGAUACUGUUGUGAAGUAUACGUAAAGUGCUUGUCGCGAAAAUUUGGAGAGCAAAUGUUCUUUAGUUUUUCUGAUCAUUCCAUUGUUACAGCUGCUUGUUGGUGUGUGGAAAUAGGUUGUCGUGAAGCAGGCUAAUUAUCUCUGGAGUAUGUGCUUGUGGAAAAUCUCAGUACAACUUCAGGAUUUUAUCUUGGAUUUUGAGGAGAGACGGGAGGGGACUGGACCAUGGCACUGUAAGUCCGGCCUCCUGUGGUGGGCUUGCAGCCAGGAUUGCCUUGUGAGACAGACCAAUAGCCAGAUGACGGUUCUGAUGAGGAUAGUGACAUUCGUGAAUGGGUCAGGCAAAGGGUCACUGAAAUAGAGGCGGAAAGGCAUCUCGAUCUGGCUCUGUUUAAUGGUGGUGGUGAUCACUUAUUUGAGGGUGUGGGGGAGUUGCCCAGUGAAAUGUUCAUGCCUUGGAGCCAGAGCAAAAAAGUGGUCAUGUCUCCACAGCCCUGACACAGUGUAGUACAUGUGGUGGUGGUGGUGGUGG